UAACCUGGUUGAUCCUGCCAGUAAUAUAUGCUUGUCUCAAAGAUUAAUCCAUGCAUGUCUAAGUAUAAAUAGUAUACCUUAAAACUGCAAAUGGCUCAUUAAAACAGUUAUAGUUUAUUUGAUAAUCAAACGCUACAUGGAUAACCGUGGUAAUUCUAGAGCUAAUACAUGCUGAUAACCCGGCGUAAGUCGCGGUUGUAUUUAUUAGAUAUUAAACCAAUAUGUUAAUAGCAUUUUGAAGGAAUUAUAGUAACUGAUCGAAUCCCCACUUGUUGAGGAUAAAUCAUUCAAGUUUCUGCCCUAUCAGCUUUCGAUGGUAGUGUAUUGGACUACCAUGGCGAUUACGGGUAACGGAGAAUUAGUGUUCGAUUCCGGAGAGGGAGCCUGAGAAACGGCUACCACAUCUAAGGAAGGCAGCAGGAGCGUAAAUUACCCAAUGUCGACUCGAUGAGCGUAGUGACAAUACAUAACAAAGAGGGGAUUUUUUAUCUUACUCUAUUGCAAUGAGGCAUGUUUAAUAACCUGUUCGAGCAACCAGUGAAGGGCAAGUCUGGUGCCAGCAGCCGCGGUAAUUCCAGCUUCACGAGUGUAUAUUUAAGUUGUUGCAGUUAAAAAGCUCGUAGUUGAACUUCUGUUUGUUCAGGAGGUGUGCAAGCACAACCUGGGCGAGCAUCCGCCUGAAAAAUCAUUAGGGCCUUCACUGGCUCAGUGAUGGAUCAGGCAUUUUACUUUGAAAAAAUUAGAGUGUUCAAAGCAGGCUUCCGCCUGAAUACAUUAGCAUGGAAUAAUAGAAUAGGACGCUGUUCAAUUUGUUGGUUAUUGAAUUGCGUAAUGAUUAAUAGGGACAGUUGGGGGCAUUUGUAUUUAAUUGUCAGAAGGUGAAAUUCUUGGAUUUAUUAAAGACAAACUUAUGCGAAAGCAUUUGCCAAGGGAUGUUUUCAUUAAUCCAGAACGAAAGUUAGGGGAUCAAAGACGAUCAGAUACCGUCCUAGUUUUAACUAUAAACUAUGCGGACUCGGUCUCAGUCAAGUCUUCCUAACUUGAUUGGUGCCGUAUGAGAAAUCAAAGUCUUUGGGUUCCGGGGGGAGUAUGGUCGCAAGGUUGAAACUUAAAGGAAUAGACGGAACAUCACUACCAGGUGUGGAUCCUGCGGCUUAAUUUGACUCAACACGGGGAAACUUACCAGCGCAAAACAAGGGUGGGAUUGACAGAUUGAGAGCUCUUUCUUGAUUCUUUGGAUAGUGGUGCAUGGCCGUUCUUAGUUGGUGGAGUGAUUUGUCUGCUUAAUUGCGUUAACGAACGAGACCUCAACCUACUUACUAGACGCGUGAUUAAUUCAUCGCGUGUUCUUCUUAGAGGGACUGUGCGGAGACAAACGCAAGGAAGUUUGAGGCAAUAACAGGUCUGUGAUGCCCUUAGAUGUGCUGGGCCGCACGCGGGAUACAAUGACCCGUUCAGAAAGUAUAACCUGACCCGGAAGGGAGUGGGUAAUCUUUUUAAUGCGGGUCGUGCUAGGGAUCGAUCUUUGCAAUUAUAGAUCUUGAACGAGGAAUACCUAGUAAGUGCAAGUCAUCAGCUUGUACUGAUUACGUCCCUGAUGUUUGUACUCACCGCCCGUCGCUCCUACCAAUUUCGAAUGAUCCGGUGAACCUUUUGGAUUGGGUGCAAGCCUAAGAAGUUAAGUAAACCUUAUCAUUUAGAGGAAGGAGAAGUCGUAACAAGGUUUCCGUAGGUGAACCUGCAGAAGGAUCAA
rnacentral:rRNA from 1 species